GGUCGUUAUAAUGCUGAAAAUACUACCCACUAAGAAGGUCGUUAUAAUGCUGAAAAUACUACCCACUAAGAAGGUCGUUAUAAUGCUGAAAAUACUACCCACUAAGAAGGUCGUUAUAAUGCUGAAAAUACUACCCACUAAGAAGGUCGUUAUAAUGCUGAAAAUACUACCCACUAAGAAGGUCGUUAUAAUGCUGAAAAUACUACCCACUAAGAAGGUCGUUAUAAUGCUGAAAAUACUACCCACUAAGAAGGUCGUUAUAAUGCUGAAAAUACUACCCACUAAGAAGGUCGUUAUAAUGCUGAAAAUACUACCCACUAAGAAGGUCGUUAUAAUGCUGAAAAUACUACCCACUAAGAAGGUCGUUAUAAUGCUGAAAAUACUACCCACUAAGAAGGUCGUUAUAAUGCUGAAAAUACAUGGUAACAAAACAAUCCAUAUAACAUCACUAAAUGUCC